UUGACCAACAUCACAAAUGCGGCUGCUCACGACGCUUCUCGGCCCUCAACUUCAGAUCAUAAGCCACCCUACACGCCACAAUUUUGCUCUGAAGCUAGUAGUUUGGCCAAACAUAUAAAAAAACUUACCGAGACGAAGGACAAAUAUGCCGUCAGACUAAAAAAAGCUAUGUCUCUCUCAACCAACACAGCUUUUCAGAAAGCCAUCGGUAAAUUUACCACAAUGGCUUUGCUAUUUGUCAUGAUGCAAUUUAGAGAGAUAAAUAAAAAGAAAAUGGGAAGGAGAUUCACAAAACAAGAAAAAAUAAUGGCAUUAUCUCUUUAUAAGCAAGGACCUAAGGCGUAUAGAUGGCUGAGGCACAUUUUUGUACUACCAUCGCCUCUCACAUUAUCAAGGAUGAUAUCCGCUGCAGCCUUAAAAGCCGGUAUAAACGAUAACAUUUUCGAAAAUCUUAAAAAAAAGGCCAGAAAAAUGUCGAUAUCUGAAAGGCUGUGUAUUUUAUUAUUCGACGAGAUGGCAAUUAAACCUCAUUUUGAGUACAAUUCAAAAAAAGACAUGAUCGUCGGAUUCGUUGACAACGGAAAAAGGAGGGUCAAAAAAAUCGCUGGCCACGUGCUAGUAUUUAUGAUAAGAGGCAUCACAAAAAAUUAUAAACAGCCUAUUAGUUACAGCUUUUGUUGUGGAGCCACCGAGAAACACGAAUUAGCGCAGGCCAUAAAGGACCACAUAAGAAAAUUAAAAUCCAGUGGAUUUCACGUGAUCGCAACUGUCUGUGACCAAGGCUCAUCAAAUAUGAGUGCCAUCAAUGCACUCAUUGCAGAAACGAAACAUGAAAAUAAAAAUUCGACAGGUUACGUGUUUGACGUGGAUGGUGAUGAAGUAAUACCUCUGUAUGACCCUCCUCACCUUAUAAAAAAUAUAAGGAACAAUUUAAUCACAAAAAAUUUGACUUGUUCCAUUGAUAACGAAAAAAAAACUGCCAAGUGGGAACACAUCGUUAAAUUAUACGAGGAAAAUCCAGCUUAUAAAGGCAUAAGGUUAAUGCCCAAGUUAACAGAACUGCAUGUAGAUCCAAAGAAAAUGCCAAAAAUGAAAGUCAAAUAUGCAACACAAUUACUUAGCAGUUCAGUCGCUGUCAAUAUGGGAUAUUUAGCAGAGAAAGGAAUACUAGAUCCGUCAAGCAAAGAAACAGCCGACGUUAUUCUUUUUUUUGACGAAUUAUUCGACUCUGUCAACGGAGGAUUCAUGAAUGAAAAUAAAAGACCUGGCAAAGACUUACUGGGUCCACUCACACCCAAAUCAAGCCAUCAGAGUGUUUGGACGAAAAGUAAAGAGGUUUUAAAAACAAUGACAUUUGUAACACCCCAAGGACGCAGAAAAAGUCAUGUUUCGACCGUGCCUAACUGGCUACGCACCUUAGAAAAUUUGGAAUAUUUAAAAAAUCUGCUGUUUCAAAAGCAUGAGAUAAAGUCCAUAUGGUUACGCCACUUUAACCAGGAUCCACUUGAAAACUUUUUUGGCUGUGUGAGGAGCCAUGGUGCAAGAAGCAACAACCCGACGUGUGUACAUUUUGAGGUUGCCUUCGCGGCAUUGUUAAUCAACAAUUUAAAUUCGUUGCAUUCUCCAGGAUAUAAUUGUGAGAAAGACCAGGGACGUGGAUUUAAGUCUUUAAGUAAGAUCUUUUUUGACAAACCUGCACUUUAUCGCGCUCCGGAGAAAAAUGACAUUAAUUUUGAUCAUGUCAGUGACCAUGUCUUGGUGGGAAUAAAUAAUAAGAAAGCUAACGUAAAAAUUUUGGCUCAAAUUGAGUAUGUUACAGGAUAUAUAUUAAGGAAAACUAAAAUUAUAUUCAAAGAUUGUAAGACAUGCAACGGCUGCCUUUACGAUUGUAACAAAAGCAGCCGAUACAUAAAAUUAAAAGAAUUUAACAAAGGAAAAUCAUAUUUAUCAUAUCCUUCAGAUGCUUUAGCUGAAUGUUUCUCUAAUAUUCAAGAUGUGGUCACGAACAUAUUAAAAACGGACUGUGACAUGGUCAAUAUAAAACAAUAUUUAGAAGAUGCUGU